rnacentral:rRNA from 1 species
GACGAACGCUGGCGGCGUGCUUAACACAUGCAAGUCGAGCGGUAAGGCCCUUUCGGGGGUACACGAGCGGCGGACGGGUGAGUAACACGUGGGUGACCUGCCCUCAGCUCUGGGAUAAGCCUGGGAAACCGGGUCUAAUACCGGAUAUGACUCCAUGACGCAUGUUGUGGGGUGGAAAGCCUUGCGCGGCUGAGGAUGGGCCCGCGGCCUAUCAGCUUGUUGGUGGGGUGAUGGCCUACCAAGGCGACGACGGGUAGCCGGCCUGAGAGGGCGACCGGCCACACUGGGACUGAGACACGGCCCAGACUCCUACGGGAGGCAGCAGUGGGGAAUCUUGCGCAAUGGGCGAAAGCCUGACGCAGCGACGCCGCGUGAGGGAUGACGGCC